GACGAACGCUGGCGGCGUGCUUAACACAUGCAAGUCGAACGGGAAGGCCUUGCUUUUGUGGGGUGCUCGAGUGGCGAACGGGUGAGUAUCCCGUGAGUAGCCUGCCCUUGACUUUGGGAUAACUUCAGGAAACUGGGGCUAAUACCGGAUAGGAGCUCCUGCUGCCUGGUGGGGGUUGGAAAGUUUCGGCGGUGGGGGUGGGACUCGCGGCUUAUCAGCUUGUUGGUGGGGUAGUGGCUUACCAAGGCUUUGACGGGUAGCCGGCCUGAGCGGGGGACCGGCCACAUUGGGACGGAGAUACGGCCCAGACUCCUACGGGAGGCAGCAGUGGGGAAUAUUGCACAAUGGGCGGAAGCCUGAUGCAGCAACGCCGCGGGGGGGAUGACGGCCUUCGGGUUGUAAACCGCUUCCGCCUGUGACGAAGCGUGAGUGACGGUAAUGGGUAAAGAAGCACCGGCUAACUACGUG
rnacentral:rRNA from 1 species